rnacentral:rRNA from 1 species
ACGAACGUUGGCGGCGUGUUUAAGGCAUGCAAGUCGUACGAAUCAGGGGGCGAUUAUAUCAAUUUCUGGUUAGUGGCAAACGGGAGAAGAACACAUUGGUAAUCUACCUCGAGGUCAUGAAUAACCCCGCGAAAGCGGGACUAAUACAUGAUGGCCAAAGGUGGUCGUAAGACCGUCUUUGUAAAGCUUCGGCGCCUCGAGAUGAGCCUAUGUCCUAUCAGCUUGUUGGCGGGGUAAUGGCCCACCAAGGCUAUGACGGGUACCGGGCGUGAGAGCGUGACCCGGCUCACUGGGACUGAGACACGGCCCAGACACCUACGGGUGGCUGCAGUCAAGAAUAUUCCUCAAUGCACGAAAGUGUGAAGGAGCGACGCCGCGUGCCAGAUGAAGGCCUUCGGGUUGUAAAUGGCUUUUUUUAGGGACGAACAAAUGACGGUACCUAAAGAAUAAGUGGUUGCUAACUCUGU